UAUGAACGCUGGCGGCGUGCUUAACACAUGCAAGUCGAACGGAAAGGCCCAAGCUUGCUUGGGUACUCGAGUGGCGAACGGGUGAGUAACACGUGGGUGAUCUGCCCUGCACUUCGGGAUAAGCCUGGGAAACUGGGUCUAAUACCGGAUAGGACCACAUUUUGGAUGGUGUGGUGGAAAGUUUUUCGGUGUGGGAUGAGCUCGCGGCCUAUCAGCUUGUUGGUGGGGUAAUGGCCUACCAAGGCGUCGACGGGUAGCCGGCCUGAGAGGGUGUACGGCCACAUUGGGACUGAGAUACGGCCCAGACUCCUACGGGAGGCAGCAGUGGGGAAUAUUGCACAAUGGGCGCAAGCCUGAUGCAGCGACGCCGCGUGGGGGAUGACGGCCUUCGGGUUGUAAACUCCUUUCGCUAGGGACGAAGCGCAAGUGACGGUACCUGGAGAAGAAGCACCGGCUAACUACGUG
rnacentral:rRNA from 1 species